GGAGUUAGCCGGUGCUUCUUCUGUGAGUGAUGUCCUUCCUGCCGGCUAUUAACCCGCAGGCCUUCUUCCUCACUGAAAGUGCUUUACAACCCGAAGGCCUUCUUCACACACGCGGCAUGGCUGGAUCAGGGUUGCCCCCAUUGUCCAAUAUUCCCCACUGCUGCCUCCCGUAGGAGUCUGGGCCGUGUCUCAGUCCCAGUGUGGCUGAUCAUCCUCUCAGACCAGCUACGGAUCGUCGCCUUGGUGAGCCGUUACCUCACCAACCAGCUAAUCCGACAUAGGCUCAUCCGAUAGCGCGAGGCCCGAAGGUCCCCCGCUUUCCCCCGUAGGGCGUAUGCGGUAUUAGCCUGGGUUUCCCCAGGUUAUCCCCCACUACCGGGCAGAUUCCUAUGCAUUACUCACCCGUCCGCCGCUCGCCACCAGGGAGCAAGCUCCCCGUGCUGCCGCUCGACUUGCAUGUGUUAGGCCUGCCGCCAGCGUUCAAUCUGAGCCAGAUCAAACUUCUGA
rnacentral:rRNA from 1 species